AUUGAACGCUGGCGGCAUGCCUUACACAUGCAAGUCGAACGGUAACGGGCCUUCGGGUGCCGACGAGUGGCGAACGGGUGAGUAAUACAUCGGAACGUGCCCGAUCGUGGGGGAUAACGAGGCGAAAGCUUUGCUAAUACCGCAUACGAUCUACGGAUGAAAGCAGGGGACCGCAAGGCCUUGCGCGGACGGAGCGGCCGAUGGCAGAUUAGGUAGUUGGUGGGAUAAAAGCUUACCAAGCCGACGAUCUGUAGCUGGUCUGAGAGGAUGAUCAGCCACACUGGGACUGAGACACGGCCCAGACUCCUACGGGAAGCAGCAGUGGGGAAUUUUGGACAAUGGGCGCAAGCCUGAUCCAGCCAUGCCGCGUGCAGGAUGAAGGCCUUCGGGUUGUAAACUGCUUUUGUACGGAACGAAAAGCCUUCUUUUAAUACAGGAGGGUCAUGACGGUACCGUAAGAAUAAGCACCGGCUAACUACGUG
rnacentral:rRNA from 1 species